GGUUGUGCAUAGUCAUUUUCAGGUGUGGAAGACAAGCCCGUGCUACGCGGUUGCCACAGUAACCUGACGUCAUAUUAGCGACGGUGACGACUUUUUUUUGAGACCAAUUUGGCCUGGGGAGAACCGCAGAGUCUCCGCUUCAGGCGUUUGGACUCAGUGGAGGUUGUGAGUGCCCAGCAGUGUGGCCUGAAUCUCCGUGGAGUUUAGGGAGACGAAAGGACCCCAGAUCGACGUCCCCUCGUUCCCACUUUGGGGAUCGGCGCUCUGGCUGUUUCGUGAAGGAGAGAGAGGAACUCAGAGUGGUUUUCCAGAUGGGAAUCACAUUGCUCUCUGUCCCUGAGAUCUUGCUGGAGACAGGGCUACUCAGUCCCUCUUUGCCAGAUUGAUAUUGGAAAAGCAGUUUCUAUUGAGCCCCCAAAUGAAGAGUGAGUGCAGAUGAAGAGGAGGCAGGACUCACAAGCCCUUGACCUUCAUUCCAGAUCCGUUAGCACCUACAGGAUCCUGCACCGGGAUUUCAUCUGUACUAUCAGCUUCUUCAAAGAGAGAGAGGUUGUUGACUCUUCAUGUGGAUGUCUGAGCUCAUAUCAGGUGUCUGAAAGAGGCAGAUUCUGAGGAUUUGGGUCAUGAUGGCUGCCAAAGCUUCUACUCCUGACUUAAAGGGCAACAAUCCUAGGAGACCACCAGCACUUAAUCCCUGGUAGGACAUGACACCUGCUUAUGGCUCAGAAGUGACAAAAGAGAAUUAUCAGGAUGGCAGUCCUUAUAACCAGAUGCUUAUCAACAUUCUUCACUACAUUCUGAAGAUGAAUUUCUACAAGGGAAAUUGUUUAUAUUUGUUGUUAGGGAAUAGAUAAGGAAAGAAGAAAAAGGCCCUGGUGAGAAACCCAUUGUACCUUCUGGAUAUGAUCACCACCCAAUUUUAUCAGUGUCAUUGAUCACUAACCCAUUGCCUCGUAUGGUGCCAGGCACAGAGUUACUCCAAGAAUGUACAAUAAUGGCUGGAUUCUCUUUCUCCCUGUGCAACUCUUCAUGCAUGUGACUGAACUUAUAUUAAGUGUCUGAAGGAGGUUCGUUCUGAGGACCUGGGACGUGAUGGGUGCUGAAGCUUCUACUCAAGAUUUGAAGGGCAGCUGUCCUCAGGAGACCCCUGGCACUUCCCUCCCUGGUGGGAUAUGAUGCCUGAUUCCAGUGAGUUCAUAGAGCUGAACAAAAGCAUGUUAUGGAAUAGCUCCUGUGAGGUUCACAACAUAGUCCAGAAGAUGAGAAACUACUUUUUUUAGUAACCUGGAUUCCCAUCUAAGAGAUGCCUUACUUUAUCAUAAAGCAAUGAAUUGUUCACUUGAGGAGGGAACUUCAUGUUUAACAUGUAUUUGCAACAAAUUUACAUACAUUUUCUGCCUGUAUGAAUAGUUGUCAGUGAUGCCCAUGAAUUUCUCAGAUGGAUGUUGAACUAUACAGUUAGAAGGUUAGAAGAUCUUCCUAGCAAUCUGAUUACGGGAGGCAGCAGAUGGCUGAAAUUCUGAUCCGAUGUGGCUGGUUAAUGCACGAUCUGAAAACCCCUGCACUGGUGAUUUUGGGACAGAUCUAGAAUAUACCAAUAAAUAUAUUAACAUACCAAGUAGUCUAGGAGCAGCCACUGGGCAAACACCAAACCUUGCAUCCCUGGUGCUGUCUCUGAGCUCAGCAGACACGUCUUUGUAGAAGAGUUCUAUAAUGGUGGUACAAUGGCGCCCCCUCGUGACAGAAGCUUGAACUACAGCUUGAACAUCGAGAUGAAAAUAUACUGUCUACAUUGUUCAACACAAUAGCUAAUGGCAACUGUGGCAGUUGAACACCCGAAACUUGAUGAAUGUGACUGAGGAACUGAACUUUUAGUUUCAUUGUGACAUGGUGAAUGAAUUUAGUGAGCCCCAGGAAGAAGGAAGAUUAAAGAAGAGCAAAGAAUAAUAGCUGGACAGAAGAUGGGGGUCAUUGAACCUAUAUCCUAGUUGCCUGACCAGUAAACUGACCACGGGUCCUGGGGGAGGCAGCAGAUGACCGAAAACCUGGAGUGAUGUGGCUGAAUACCGCAUGAUCCGAAGACUGCACUGGUGGCUGCGGUAUGGGUCCAAAUUUUUCCUUAACAAAAACAAAAAAAGAGCCCAAAACCAUACUGACCAGUCCAGGAACAGCCAUUAGGCAAACACAACUUUUUGCUACCCUGGUGUUACCGAUUUCUGAGCUCAACAGGUGAAUUCAAAGAUAUGCAUGUCUUUCCAGCAUGGGCAGCUGGAUUUGGGUCAGCUCAGGGGCAUGAUGUUGAACAGCUCUUAUGAGCUUCUGAUAGUGCCCAGAAGUACAGAAACAACUGUCUACAAAUCUUUGAACUCAAGGCAUAUCACAGGGACCUUUGCUUUCUUCAACUAGAUAUCUGUUUUCUCAUAAAGAGAAACAAUGAGAAAUGGUUUUUCACAAUGCCUCGUUAGCCCUGAGGCUCAGCCAUCCCCUAGUGCUGUGUCCCAACAUUUAAAGUUCAUUGAAGUCCCACUCUAUGCCAUAUAGUCUGGACAGGUUUUCUCAUUUACCCCUCAGGACAGCACUGUAAGGAUGGUGUGGUCAGUCCCAUUUCAUAGAUGACCAAACUCAGGCUUUCAGAGCCUAAGUCACUUCUCCAGAUAGGUGGUAGGAUUGAAAUGAGGUUCUAUCCCUCAUCAUCCAUAGACAGCCCUGAGUAGCCUCCCUUUUAGAAGAUGGGCUUCCAGGGCUUGAGAAAUGGUCAGAUUCCACCCCCAUGCUAUUGUGGACCAAUGCGUCCUCACUCCACAACCCCUCUGGGUGAUGAAGAAGAUAGAGAAGAUGAAAUCCCACCAUUUAUGGCAAGAGACCUGGGUGUAGGGCCACAUGAGUUGGUUGCUUCUCGAAGUGGUGAGUGGGCUCAGGUAGAAACUCAAGUGUUGGCCUUCGGACAGGUGAGCUGAAGAGAAGGAAAGUAACAUACACUAAACUACUGUAAGCAAAUGCACUUUAUAUUUCAUCUCCUUUAAUCUUAACUGCUAUUCAAGGUACCUAUCGCUUUGACCAUUAUUCAAAUCAGGGUACUUUAGGAAAGUUUAUGUAAAGCAGGGAAUAAACUCUUUUCUCUCCAGAUCAGCAGCUAACUCUAGAAUUACUUUUAAGUAUGUUUAAGUAUUUUUCCAUUUUUGUCUUGAUAUCUCCAGGACUCUCAAUGCUUGAAUUUUUCUCAAGGCCGACAGUACACACGCCCUAAGGUGUUCUUCACUAGUAUUUUCUUUUUAAAUUACAAUCUGUAUAUAUCUUAUUCAUAUUAUUGAAGUUGAAAACACAUUCUAAAUGAAAAUAACACUAAGAAUGUCUAUAAAAUAACGGGGAAACAUUUUCAAACUACAUCUCAGAUGUUGGAUUAGUAUCCAUAAUUUAUAGGGCAAACUCAGUAACAAAACAGUUGGCAACUAAUUUUGACAUAGAAUUCCAAUAGAUAUAGACAUGAACAAUGAACUUGUUGAUUAUGCUAAAACUAUAAGAACUAAUACGAUACUAAUAUAAAUCCUCAGAAGAAUAUUAAGUGGAAAGGACAACUUGCAAAAGGAGAUGAUUAAUGUGAUUGCACUUUUUGGCAAAGAUUACAUGCAUGUGUAGGUGAACAUAGUCAUGUGCACCUCAUCCACAGAAACAUGUCUGGAAAGUGUGCACCAUUCUAUGGACAACAGACCUUUUGGGUCAGGAGGUAGGAGUUGAGCUAGUGAGAGGUGAAGAUUAAUUACAAUUCAUAUAUGUGCUUUUGUAUAUUGUCUGAAAUUUGGUAUUCAGGAAUAAAAGUAUUUUGAUGAAUAUUUAGACACAACAUACUUUUGCACAGAUUGACAAAAGUAAUGUGUAUUAUGUUCAUUAAUUUGAAAUAGCUGUUACUGUAUUCUAUUUAAUGGUGAAAGAAGUAGUUAAGUAGAAGGACACAAAACAAGUCUCAACAAAUUUAAAAAAUCAAAAUCAUAUCAAGUAUGUUCUCAGACAAAAAUGGAAUAAAAGUAGAAAUCAAUAACAAGAGGAACCUGGUAAACUGUACAAAUAUGUGGAAAAUAAACAAACAGCAUGCUCCAGAAUGACCACUGAGUCAAGAAAAAAAAAUAUGGAGGAAAUCAAAAAGUUAUUUGAAACAAAUGAAAAUGGAAACACAACAUACCAAAAUCUAUGGGAUACAGCAAAAGCAGUGCUAAGAGAAAAAUUUGUAGCAAUAGAUGCCUACAUCAAAAAAGUCAAAAGAUUCCAAAUAAUCAAUCUGACUGUUCACCUCAAGGAACUAAAAAAGGAAAAAAAAACCAAAUCCCAAAUGAGUAGAAGGAAGGAAACAGUAAAGGUCAGAGCCAAACUAAACAAAAUAGAAACUAAAAAUAUACAAAAUUUUAAUGAAACAAAAAGUUAGAUUUCUGAAAAAAUAAAAAAUUGAUAAACCAUCAGCUAGACUAACCAAGAAAAAAGAGAGAAGACACAAAUAAACAACAUCAGAAAUGAAAAAGGAGACACUACAACUGAUAACAUGGAAAUACAAAUAAUCAUCAGAGACAAUUAUAAACAAUUAUAUACCACCAAAUUGGAAAGCCUAGAGGAAAUAGAUAAAUUCCUGAACGUAUACCACCUACCAAGAUUGAAUCAGGAAGAAAUAGAAAACCUGAACAGACCAAUAGUAAGUAAUGAGAUUGAAUCAGUGAUAAAAAUUUUCCAACAGAGAAAAGUCCAGACCUGGAUGGUUUCUCUGAUGAAUUCUACCAAACCUUCAAAGGAGAACUAACACAAGUUAUAUUCAAACUACUGAAAAAAAAUUGAAGAGGAGAGAAUUCUCCCUAACUCAUUUUAUGAGGGCAGCGUUAUUAUGAUAUUAAAAACCAGACAAGGACUCAACAACAACAACAAAAAACUACGGGCCAAUAACCCUGAUGAAAAUAGAUGCAAAAGUUCUCAACAAAAUACUAGCAACCUGACUCCAACAGCACAUCAAAAAGAUAAUAUGCCAUGAUCAAGUGGGAUUUACACCAGGGAUGCAAAGAUGGUUCAACAUAUGCAAAUCAACAAACAUAAUACAUUACAUCAACAGAAUGAAGGACAGAAACCAUAUGAUUAUCUCAACCAAUCCAUAAAAAGCAUUUGAUAAAAUUCAUCAUCCCUUCAUGAUAAAAACUCUCAAGAAACUAGGCAUCAAAAGAACGUACCUCAAAAUAAUAAAAACCAUAUAUGAUAAACUCAGAGCCAACAUCAUAAUGAAUGGGGAAAAGCUGAAACCAUUUCAUCUAAGAACUGGAACAAGACAAGGGUCUUGUUUUUUCACCUUCCUCACUACUAUUCAACAUAGUACUGGAAGACCUAGCCAGAGCAAUCAGACAAGAGAAAUAACAGAUAUCCAAGUUGGAUAUCUUUACAUUUGUUCCUCUUUGCAAAUGAUACAAUUUUUUAUCUGGAAAAACCUAAUGACUCCAUCAAAACUCUCCCAAAUUUGAUAAAUACAAUAUAGUUGUAGGAUAGAACAUCAAUAUACAAAAAUCAGUAGUGUUUGUAUGCACCAAUGACGAAAUAGCUGAUGAUGAAAUAGCGGAGAAAGAAAUUAAAAAGGCAUGCCUACUUGAAAUAGCUACCAAAAAAAACCUAGGAAUAAAUUUAACCAAGCAGGUGAAAGACCUCUACAAGGAAAACUACAAAACACUGAUGAAAGAAAUUGAAGAGGACAAAAGCAAAUGGAAAGAUAUCCUAUGCUCAUGGCCUGGAAGAAUUAAUAUAAUUAAAAUGACCAUACUGUCAAAGGUAAUCUGCAGAUUCAAUGCAAUCCUUAUCAAAGUACCAAUGACAUUUUUCGCAGAAAUAGAAAAAACAAUCCUAAAAUUGAUAUGCAACCACAAAGGAACCUGGAUAACCAAACCAAUCCAGACCAAAAAGAACAAAGCUGGAGGCAUCACACUACUUGACUUCAAAAUAUAUUACAAGGCUUUAGUAAUCAAAACAGCAUGGUAUUGGUAUGAAAACAGACACAAAGACCAAUGGAACAGAAUAGAGAACGCAGAAAUAAAUCCACAUGUUUACAGACAAAACUGAUUUUCAACAAAGGCACCAAGAACGUACAUUGGAGAAAGGACAUCCUCCUCAAUAAAUGGUAUUGGGAAAAUUGGAUAUGCAUAUGCAGAAGAAUGAAACUGCAUCUCUGUCUCUCAUCAUAUACAGACAUCAACUCAAGAUCAAUAAAAGACUUAAAUGUAAGAUCUGAAACUAUAAAAAUACUAGACAAAAACCUGGGGGAAACACUUUAGUACAUUGGUCUAGGCAAAGAUUUUAUGGCUAAGACCUUAAAAGCACAGACAACAAAACCGAAAAUAGGCAAAUGACCAAUCUGUAUGUCCACCACAGAGUCCAGGGCCUUUCCUCUGCAAUACCUUGUCAGCGUCAGUACUUUCUUCAUUCCUCUGUAGCCUUUCUCACCGCCCUAUACUUGGGGAGUCUAAAUGGCACUACUUUAUGAGUGUCUGUAGGGCAAUACUUAUCAAGGCCUACAUAGGCACACACCCUUUGUGCUAGCUUUUCCUUUUAUAUGUUUAUCUUCAGGACUUAGUGAAGAAUGUUGAUUAAGAUCUGGUUACAGGUACUGCCAUCCUGAUAUUUCCCUUUUUUCACUUUUGGGCUUGAAUUUAGAAAGGGAGACGAAAUGAGAUGCAAAGACACAAGCCAGAAGGAAGUAAAGGGAAAUGUGGUUGUCAGCACACACAUACACUCACACUCUCUCUCUCUCUCACACACACACACACACACACUCCUACCUCAACCAGGUUCUGUUAUCACAAUACUACAAUUCUCUCAACAUAGUUGUUGGGCUCCAAGGGGACCCAUUCAGCUCACCAGAGCAAAUAGCCAUGGGAACUCUGCCCUGGAUUACACCCACUACCAGUGCGCAGACUCUGAAAAGAUGCUAUCCAUGUCGUGUAGAUAAUAGGGAAUAUUGGAACACUCUAUAUAAUAUGGGGUUGUGAAAAUUGAUUAUGUCACAUCCACAGUAUGAAAUUUCAGAAGAGAGCAAAAAUGAGUUAUAUUGAAACAAUGAUGAGAGAUGAUUUUUUUUGCCUAUCAGAUUAGUAAAGAUUCACAUUAUUUCUAAUAUGGGCAGAAAGGAACUUUCAUACUGGAAUAUUAGUAGUAUAAUACUUUUAUUAAAAGUAUUUUGAUUUCAGAUAAAUGCAUGGGGGCAAGAUGGCAGAUAGGAGGCAGGACUAGCUUGCAGCUCCUGCUGAGAUGAACAGAGCAGCAUGUGGAGACUCAUACUGUAAACCUUUGCUCCAAGAAGUACUGCAGGAACAUACCAGGAAAGCUGAGAGAAUCCACAGACCCUUUGAAGAAACUGGAUCACUGUUGCAGGCCCCCUGAGUUGCUGAAAAACUGUGAGUCUGCUUGCUUUGUCAGUGGGGAAGCUGGUGGUCUGGGACAAGUUCUCAGCCCUGGUCCCUGGUUGCCCUAAAAUAGACUCAGUGCUGUUAUAGGGCACAGUGGGAAUGACACCAGCCUUUAGGGCUGCAGGCUGUGUGGGAGCAGGGUGAGGCCCAUGACUGCAGACUUUCCCCCACUUGCUGGCAAACUGUAUGAUUCAGCAGAAGCAGCCAUAAUCCCCCUGGGAAUAUAACUCCAUUGGACCAGACACCACACCCCCAUCCCCCACAGCAGUCACAGCAAGCCACACCCAAGGAGAGGCUGAGCUCAGCCAUGCCUAUCCCUGCCCCUACCUGGUGGUCUUUCUCUAUCCACCCUGGUAGCCAAAGACCAAGGUCAUAAUCUCUUGGGAGUUCUAUGGCCCUGCCCACCACCUGAGAAAUCUGAAUACUUAACCAGCUGUUCCUAGGGAAAGUUGGCAUCCUCUCUGCAGGACCACAACUGAUGUACUCUUGAAAGCACCACCUCCUAGCUGGAGGCCAACCAACACAAAACUAGUGCACUAAACCAAAAUACAACCAAGGACCCUUACAGAGUCCACUUCACUCCCCUGCUACCUCCACUGGCUGCAAAACCUGAAGAUGGAUCACAUCACAGGACUCUUUGCAGACACUCCCCAGUACCAGCCCGGAGCCCAGUAGCUCCACUGGGUGGCUAGACCCAGAAGAGCAAAAACAAUCAUGACAAUUUAGCCCUCAGGAAGCCCCAUUUAUAGGGGAAGGGGGAGAACACCACAUCAAGGGAGCACCCCAUGGGACAAAAGAAUCUGAACAGCAGCUCUUGAAUUCCAGAUCUUCCCUCUGACAUAGUCUACCCAAAUGAGAAAGAGCAAGAAAAAAAUUUCUGCUAAUACGACAAAACAAGUUUCUUUAACACCCCCAAAAGAUUGCACCAGCUCACCAGCAAUGGAUCCAAACCAAGAUGAAAUGUUGAAAUAGCCAGAAAAAGAAUUCAGAAGGUUGAUUAUUAAGCUAAUAAAAGAGGCAGCAGAGAAAGAUGAAGUCCAACUUAAAUAAAUCAAAAACGUGAUGCAGGAUAUGAAAGGAAAAUUAUUCAGUGAAACAGCAUAAAUAAAAAAAAAACAAUUACAAUUUCAAGAAAUCAGGAGCACAUAUAGAGAAAUGCAAAAUGCACUGGAAAGUCUCAGCAAUAGAAUCGAACAAGCAGAAGAAAGAACUUCAGAGCUCAAAGACAAGGCUUUCAAAUUAACCCAAUCCAUCAAAGACAAAGAAAAAAGAAUUUUAGGCCGGGUGCGGUGGCUCACGCCUGUAAUCCCAGCACUUUGGGAGGCCAAGGCAGGUGGAUCACGAGGUCAGGAGAUCGAGACCAUCCUGGCGAACAUGGUGAAACCCUGUUUCUACUAAAAAUACAAAAAAAAAAAAAAAAUUAGCUGGACAUAAUGGCAGGUGCCUGUAGUCCCAGCUACUCAGGAGGCUGAGGCAGGAGAAUGGCGUGAACCCGGGAGGCGGAGCUUGCAGUGAGCCAAGAUCGCGCCACUGCACUGUAGCCUGGGCGACAGAGCAAAACUCCGUCUCAAAAAAAAAAAAAAGAAUUUUUAAAAAAAUGACUAAAGCAUCCAAGAAGUUUGGGACUAUGUUAAAUGUCCAAACCUAAGAAUAAUUAGUGUUCCUAAGGAAGAAGAGAAAUCUAAAAGUUUGGAAAACAUAUUUGAGGGAAUAAUCAAAGAAAACUUCCCUGGCCUUGCUAGAGAUCUGGACAAAUACAAGAAGUUCAAAGAACACCCGGGAAAACUAGGCACAUAGUCAUCAAGUUAUCUAAAGUCAAGACAAAGGAAAGAAUCCUAAGAGCUAUGAAGCAAAAGCAUCAGGUAAUCUAUAAAGGAAAACCUAUCAGAUUAACAGCAGAUUUCUCAGCAGAAACCCUACAAGCUAGAAUGAAUUCGGGUCCUAUUUUUAGCCUCCUUAAGCAAAACAAUUAUUAGCCACGAAUUUUGUAUCCAGAGAGAAACUAAGCUUCAUAAAUGAAGGAAAGAUAGUCUUUCCCAGACAAACAAAUGCUGAGAGAAUUCACUACUACCAAGCCAGCAGUACAAGAACUGCUAAAAAGAGCUCUAAAUAUUAAAAUAAAUCCUCAAAAUAUACCAAAAUAGAAUCUCCCUAAAGCAUAAAUCUCACAGGACCUAUAUGACAGUAACACAAUGCAAUAUAUAUAUAUAUACACACACACACACACAUACAGGCAACAAAUAGCACAAUGAAUAAAAUAGUACCUCACAUCUCAAUGCUAACAUUGAAUGUAAAUAGCCUAAAUGCUCCACUCCAGAAUGGCAGAAUGGAUAAGAAUUCACCAACCUAGUUUCUGCUGUCUUCAGGAGAUUCACGUAACACAUAAGGACUCACAUAAACUUAAGGUAAAGGGAUAGAAAAAUACAUUCCAUGCAAAUGGACACCAAAAGUGAGCAAGAGUAGCUAUUCUCACAUCAGACAAAACAAACUUUAAGGCAACAGCAGUUAAAAAAGACAGAGGGACAUUAUAUAAUGAUAAAAGGACUAGUCCAAAAGGAAAAUAUCACAAUUCUGAAUAUAUAUACACCUAACACUGGACCUUUCGAUUUAUAAAACAGUUACUACUAGACCUAAGAAAUGAAAUAAACGGCAACACAAUAAAAGUGGGAGGCUUUAAUACUUCACUGACAGCACUAGACAGGUCAUCAAGACAGAAAGUCAACAAAGAAACAAUGUACUUAAACUAUACCUUAUAACAAAUGGACUUAACAGAUAUUUACAGAACAGUCUACCCAACAACUACAGAAUAUAUAUUCUAUUCAUCAGUACAUGGAACAUUCUCCGAGAUAGACCACAUGAUAGGCCACAGAACAAGUCUCAGUAAAUUUAAGAAAAUCAAAAUUAUAUCGAGUACUCUCUCAGACUACAAUGGAAUAAAAUUGGAUAUCAACUCCAAAAGGAACCUUAAAAACCAUGCAAAUAUAUGGAAAUUAAAUAACUGGCUCCUGAAUGAUCGUCGUAUCAACAAUGAAAUCAAGAUGGAAAUUUAAAAAUUCUUUGAAUUGAAAGAUUAUAGUGACACAACCUAUCAAAACCUCUGGAAUACAGCAAAAGCAGUGCUAACAGGAUAGUUCAUAGCAUUGAAUGCCUACAUCAAAAAGUCUGAAAGAGCACAAAUAGACAAUCUAAGAUCAUACCUCAUGGAACUAGGGAAAGAAGAACAAUCUAAACCCAAACCCAGGAGAAGAAAAGAAAUAACGAAGAUCAGAGCAGAACUAAAUGAAAUUGAAACAAAAACAAUACAAAAGAUAAAUGAAACAAAAAGCUGGUUCUUUGAAAAGAUAAAUAAAACUGAUAGACCAUUAGCAAGAUUAACCAAGAAGAGAGAAGUUUCAAAUAAGCUCAAUUAGAAAUGAAAUGGGAGAUAUUACAACUGAUAUCACAGAAAUACAAAAGAUUAUUCAAGGCUACUAUGAACACCUUUAUGUGCAUAAACUAGAAAACCUACAGGAGAUGGAUAAAUUCCUGGAAAUAUACAACCCUCCUAGAUUAAACCAAGAAGAUAUAGAAUCUCUGAACAGACCAAUAACAAGCAAUGAGAUUGAAAUAGUAAUACAAAGAUUGCCAAUAACUAAAAAAGUUCAGAACCAGACAGAUUCACAGCUGAAUUCUAUCAGACAUUCAAAGAAUUGGUACCAAUCCUAUUGACACUAUUCCAAAAGAUAGAAAAAGAGAGAAUCCUCCCCCAAAUCAUUCUAUGAAGCCAGUUUCGCCAUAGUAUCAAAACCAGGGAAGGACAUAACGAAAAAGAAAGCUACAGACCAAUAUCCCUGAUGAACAUAGAUGCAAAAAUCCUCAAGAAAAUACUAGUGAACCAAAUUCAACAACAUAUCAAAAAGAAAAUCCACCAUGAUCAAUUGGGUUUCAUGCCAUUGAUGCAGGGAUGAUUUAAGAUACACAAGUAAUAAAUGUGAUAGAGGGCAUACACAGAUUUAAAACAAAAAUCACACGAUCAUCGCAAUAGAUGCAGAAAAAAGCAUUUGACAAAAUCCAGCAUCCCUUUAUUAUUAAAACCCUCAGCAAAAUCGGCAUAAAGGGGACAUACCUUAGAGUAAUAAAAGCCAUCUACAACACAAACAAAGGGAAACACAUACCAUGCUCAUGGAUGGGUACAUAUGGAACCAGAAAAGAGCCCAAAUAGCCAAAGCAAGACAGAAAAAAAAAAAAAAGUUAGGCGCGUAGACCAAUGGAACAGAAUAGAGAACCCAAAAAUAAAGCCAAAUACAGCCAACUGAUCUUUAACAAAGCAAACAAAAACAUAAAGUGGAGAAAGGACACCCUAUUCAACAAAUGGUGCUGGGAUAAUUGGCAAGCCACAUGUAGAAGAAUGAAACUGGAUCCUCAUCUCUCACCUUAUACAAAAAUCAACUCAAGAUGGAUCAAAGACUUAAAUCUAACACCUGAAACCGUAAAGAUUCUAGAAGAUAAUAUUAGAAAAACCCUUCUAGACAUUGGCUUAGGCAAAGACUUCAUGACCAAGAACCCAAAAGCAAAUGCAACAAAAACAAGCAUAAAUAGAUGGGACUUAAUUAAACUACAAAGCUUCUGCACAGCAAAAGAUAUAAUCAGCAGAGUUAACAGACAACUUACAGAGUGGGAGAAAAUCUUCACAAUCUGUACAUCCGACAAAGGACUAUUAUCCAGAAUCUACAAAUAACUCAAAUCAACAAGAAAAAACAAAACAAAACAAAACAAAGUAAAAAUAUCAAAAAGUGGGCUAAGGGCAUGAAUAGACAAUUCUCAAAAGAAAAUAUACAAAUGGCCAGCAAGCAUAUGGAAAAAUGCUCAACAUCACUAGUGAUCAGGGAAAUGCAUAUCAAAACCACAAUGCAACACCAUCUUAUAACUGCAAGAAUGGCCAUAAUAAAAAAAUUUAAAAAAAUAGAUGUCUGAGUAGGUGGGGUGAAAAGGGAACACUUUUACACUGCUGGUGGGAGUGUAAACUAAUACAACCUCUGUGGAAAACAGUGUGGAGAUUCCUUAAAGAACUAAAAGUAGAUCUCUCGUUUGAUCCAGCAAUCCCACUACUGGGUAUCUACCCAGAGGAAAAGAAGUCAUUAUACAAAAAAGAUACUUGCACACGCAUGUUUAUAGCAGCACAAUUGCAAUUGCAAAAAUAUGGAACCAACCCAAAUGCUCAUCAAUCAAUGAGUGGAUAAAGAAAAUGUGAGAUAUAUAUAUAUGAAUACUACUAAGCCAUAAAAAAAAAAGAAAUAAUAGCAUUCGCAGCAACCUGGAUGGAAUUGGAGAUUAUUAUUCUAAGUGAAGUAACUCAGGAAUGGAAAACCAAACAGCGUAUGUUCUCACUCAUGUGGGAGCUAAGCUAUGAGGACGCAAAGGCAUAAGAAUGAUACAUUGGUCUUUGGGGACUCAGGGGAAGCAGUGGGGAGUGUUGAGGGAUAAAAGACUAUACAUUGGGUACAGGGUACACUGCUUGGGUGAAGGGUGUGCCAAAAUCUCAGAAAUCACCGCUAAAGAACUUAUUCAUGUAAACAAACACCACCUGUUCCCCAAAAACCUAUUGAGAUUAAAAAAACAUUAAAAAAAGUAAAAGUAUUUUGAUUUCAUCAUCUUAAUAUAAAAUUUUUAAGUGUCUGGGGUUUAAAGAUACUCUUUCAAAAACUUAUAAAGAAAUUAUUACUGAAAUAUUUGUGCAUAUGAGCAAGAGUGUUAUAUACACCAUUGUCUGUAAUAGAAACUAUGGUAAGGGAACUAAAUUUUCACCACUAGGUUACUGUGGAAAUAAACUUUAGGAUAUCAUAUAAAUGAAACACCAGGUCCAUAAAAAAUAUUGAUAUUAUGUUGUAAUUUCAAAUGUUAUCAUAGAAAUCUAUUUCCAUGAAAAGAUAGUAAUAAAGAUGUAAAGAGGGUUUACAAAGAUAACAAGUAUCCUGGAUCCCUUUUUUCUUAUAUAGGUCUCUAUUUAUCCAGGGGUCAAAGAAUAAAAAUUAAAAUAUUUUGUCUUCCUCUCACAUAGAGCUCUCUUCUCAGCACAGUAAAAGGCAGCAAUUUUUGUCUGGAGUCCUUCCCCUAUACACUGGGAAUGCUCACUUUUCCACCAAGAUUUCCAGAAAGCUUUAUAGGAUGGGCUUGGGCCACAAUCUCUCCUUCCCACCUUCCUGUUCAGCAGUGUUCUAGCUGCAAUGCAGAUUUGUGUUGGGAAAGGGCACCACGGCACCACCAUUAUCAAACUUUUCAGCAAAGAAGUGUCCGCAAGGGGCAAAAACUACAAUACCUCCUUACGACCCACCUUAUGAACCCAGGUACAGAAUGAUUCUGUCAGAAAGAUACUGAUGUAUUUAAAAGAAGACGGAAAAAAAAAAUAAACUGCAGAACAUCCUUGGCUAUCCUAGGCGGGCAGCCAUAGGGCGGUGCGGGGCAGUGGGUGGUGACAGAGAGAGGAUGAGGGCACAGGAGCAGGGUCUGGGCAGCUGUGUCCAUAGUGUCCUGAAAAGGGAAUGACAGAGAGAAGGUGGGAGGAAAUCUGGGAAGCCUGUAUAGGGGUGGGGAAAUGGAGGAGGGUGAAUGCCCUGCUGUCUGAAAAGGACCCCCCCACCCCGCCACCCUCCUACAAUGUGGACACUGCAACCUGCACCAGGGAGGGAAGUGAAAAAUCAAUGAAUGCAAUGUAGAUUUGGGGUCAACAGAUAAUGGAACUGUUUUCAUAUGCACGUGAAUUUUCCAAACAACCACCAAAAACUUGUAAUAUUUGUUACUCUAUGCAAAAUAAGCUGCUUUUAAUUUAAAAACAAAAAUUGAGAUAGCUAUGAUGUGCCUUCUGGUGGCUAGAGCCAAGGUUGCAGCUUUGAGAGUAGACCAGGUUGCGGGGCAGGCAGGGUUCAGCAUAGGGAAGGGAGGGAUGGAGUUGGGAGCUUGAUUAAUGGGAUCAGCCUUAUUCCAAUCCUGCCAUUUAUCUGGGGAAGUGACUUAGGCUCUCUGAGCCUGAACUUAGUCACCUGUGAAAUGUGACUGACUAUACCAGAGCUGUCCUGAGGGGUAAAUGAGAAAAACUGCCCAGAGUAUAUGGCAUAGUGUGGAACUUUAGUGGUCUUUAAAUGUUGAGACACAGGAGUAGGGGUUGGCAGAGCCUCAGGGCUAAGGAGGCAGUGUGAAAAAUCAUUUCUUACUGUUUCCCCUUUUGAGAAAAAUACACAUCUAGUUGAAGAAAGCAAAUGUCCCUGUGAUAUACCUUGAGUGGAAAGAUUUAUAGACAGCUGUUUCUCUAGUUCUUGGGUGUUAUCAGAAGCUCAUAAGAGCUGUUCAGCAUCAAGUCCCUGAGCUGACCCAAAUUCAGUUCCUCAUGCUGGGAAGAUAGGCAUGUCUUUGAACUCACCUGGUAAUCUCAGUGAUAGAUAACACCAGGUAAGCAAAGUGUGGAGUUUGCCUAAUGGUUGUUCCUGGACUGUUUGGUAUAUUAAUAUAUUAUAGGAAAGCAGGGUGCGGUGGCUCAUGCCUGUAAUCCCAGCACCAUGGGAGGCUGAGGUGGGCAGAUCACUUGAGGUCAGGAGUUCGAGACCAGCCUGGCCAACAUGGCAAAACUCUGUCUCUACUAAAAAUACAAAAAGUAGCCGGGCAUGGUGACGCACACCUGUAAUCCCAGCUACUCAGGAUGCUGAGGCAGGAGAAUCGCUUGAACCCAGGAGGUGGAGGUUGCAGUGAGCUGAGAUGGGGCCACUGCACUCCAGUCUGGGUGACAGAGUGAAACACUGUCUCAAAAAAAAAAAAAAAAAGAUAUAUAUAUACACACACACACACACAUAUAUAAAAAAUAGGAAACACACACACACACACACACACACACACACACACAUAUAUAUAUAAAAAAUAGGAAAAUUCUAGACUGUUUCACAGCCACCAGGGCAGUGACCCUCAGAUUAUGCAUUAUCCAGCCACAUCACAGCAGUAUUUUAACCAUCUUCUACCUCUUGAAACACAAAAAUCCAAGUUACUACCAUUUCUAUACACACAAUUGUCCAUUCCUUCAUUCAUUAAUAACUAAAUAUAUAUUAAGCUCAAUACCUAUAUAACUAAAGGCAUCUCAUGAUCUCUAAAAUGGAAGUAAUAGAGUAAGAAUGAAAAUAAUAUAUCGCUAACUUCAAAGGUUAGUUUUAAGAUGGUAUGCUCCUUCACAUUAAUUUUUAAACUUGAUCAACUUUUAAGAAAUGAAAGAUUUUCAAAAAUUCCUCUGGGACCCCUCAAUACACAUUUAGCCACAGGAUUGAUAUCUCUCCUCUCCUCUGCCCUCCCCUCUCCUCCCCUCCCCUCCCCUCCCCUCCCCUCCUCUCCCCUCCCCUCCCCUCCCCUCCCCUCCUCUCUCUCUCUCUCUCUGUCUCCUGCCCCCUCCACCUCUAUGUCCUAUCUCUGGGUCUCUCUCUUCUCCUUCAAAUUUAAACUACCUAAAAGAGCUUUCUCCAUUCCUUGUUAACAUUCUUCACUUCCUACUGCCUGCUUAUCCCACCUAAUUAGCCAAGCAGUGACUGCCACAGAGACAGGAAAGUGGGAUGGUCUUCAUGAAAUCACCCAGAGUUCAGCAUUAAAGCUUCAGUGGGGAAUGGGGAGGAUAAGGAGAGGGGAACCCUGACACAGUGGGAUUCGGGGUAGAAGUAUAGUCAUAGUCUCAUUCAGCCCAGGGUCCCAGGAGCAAUCAACAAAUGUGACUUAAUACACCACGUUUUCAUUACCUAUGUAUCCACUGAUGAACUUUUAGGUCGAUUCCACAUCUUGACUAUGAUGUAUAAUUACACAAGUACCUUCCUUAUGUAAUUAAAAGUAAUAAAAGGAAAAUAUACACAUGCCCAGCACUUGUAAUAGACAUCAAAUCAAGUUCUAAAUGGAAUGCAUCCCUAUACCAUCUAAGGGAUUUGGGCAGUAGUCUGAACACAUGAAAACUAACUCCCAGAAAAUACUGUCUUCUUUCAGCAGGAUGGUCUAGAUUAGUUCUGGAUAUAAAGGACAGGCCUAAAUUAGUAACAGUUUGAAAGAAAGGUAGAAAAUUAGCCCCAGACAAAUGAGAAAAUGUGCAUUCAAGAUACACUGAGAUUGUUUUAGGCAAGUUAGCCACAGGAAAACUGAGACAUUGAACAUAUCAGAUAAAAGAAGAGUUUGAAAAUAGUAACUGUAGAAUGUUUUACUGCUCUCUAUAGCAUAUAAACUGAGACCUGGGUGUGUCUGUUUUAGUAGUCUAAAAGAUAAUACACACGACUUGGAGACGUAUAUAUAUAGCAGGUCCCACUGUUGAGAUAUGAAUGCAUGUUUGUUCUCCUCAGGUUUCUUACUUCCUUUUCUUCAAUGAGGUAGCCAGGUAUUUAGAGAGAAAACCAUGCUACAAAACAAUAUUAUAUUUUACAUACAGGUAUGUACAUGUGUAAUAAAACUAUAAGGUAAUGCCUUAAAAAUGAAAAAUCCAAAUUCUGUAUAGUGAUUAUCUCUGGGGAAGUAGGAGGCUAAUACAAUCAGACUUCAAUGUGACUAUCAAUUGCCUGUAUACUAUUUUAUAUGUUAGCAUGGGUACAUAGAAAGUUCUCACAUUCUAUAAUUUUUGUAUGUCUGAACUAUUUUAUAACAAAUACUGUUUCUAUGAGCAAAAAUUCUGACUUUUAAAAAGCUCCAUGCUAAUUUAUAAAUUGUGGAAAGCAUAGUCAAGUCCAGAAAUAAAUAAAUAAUCCCUGACCCCUCCCACUUAUUAAUUUUUGAUAAUGUGUCCUUUUUGUAUAGUUCCUCCCACUUUGUUCUCUAUGCAGGCAUACUUAAUAUAUAUCCAUUACAUAUGGGUUUCAUUUGUCUUGAGACUCAACAUUUCCUAAAGAUCAUAAAACCAGUAAUUAAGUAUGCUGAAAUAUUGUACUCACUCUGACUCCAAGGCUCAUGUCCUUAACCCCUGAGAAUGCCAAUCUUUUCCUGUGAAAGGGGUGAGGCCAGAUCAGGGGAGCUGACUUCUCAUGGUCUUUUUUACACAAAGAUAAAUCUGCUAUUGAGGACCCAGGUCUCCUGAUUUCAGUCUGUUGUACAGCAGAUUCAUCUUCAUGUUCUGUUACUCUAUGCUGUCUGCUUUCUGGUCCUCAAGAGGCUGCUAUUUCGGUGUCCAAAUAGAAGGUGAAAGAAGAUGGCACAAAAGAACAUCAAAUUAAAAGUAAUUUGCUUAGGAUAAUGGCCUCAAGCUCCAUCCAUGUUGCUGCAAAGGACAUGAUCUCAUUCUUUUUUAUGGAUCUGUAGUAUUCCAUGGUGUAUGUGUACCACAUUUUCUUUAUCCAGUCCACUGUUGAUGGGCAUCUAGGUUGAUUCCAUGUCUUUGCUAUUGUGAAUAGUGCUGUGAUAAACAUACACAUGCAUGUGUCUUUAUGGUAGAACGAUUUAUAUUCAUUUGGGAAUAUACUCAGUAAUGAGAUUUCUGGGUUGAAUUGUAGUUCUAUUUUAAGUUCCUUGGGAAAUCUCUAGACUGCUUUCCACAGUGGCUGAACUAAUAUACAUUCCUACCAGCAAUGUAUAAGCAUCCCCUUUUCACUGUAAGCUCACCAACAUCUGUUACUUUUUGACUUUUGCAUAAUAGACAUUUUGACUGUUGUGAGAUGGUAUCUUAUUGUGGUUUCGAUUUGCAUUUCCCUAAUGAUUAGUGAUAUUGAGCAUUUUUUCAUAUGCUUGUAGGUCGUGUGUAUAUCUUCUUUUGAGUAGUGUCUGUUCAUGUCCUUUGCCCAUUUUUUAAUGGGGUUGUUUUUCUGCUUGUUGAUUUAGUUCCUUAUAGAUCCUGGAUAUUAGACCUUUGGAAGAUGCAUAGUUUACAGAUGUUUUCUCCCAUUCUGUAGGUUGUCUGUUUACUCUGUUGAUAGUUUCUUUUGCUGUGCAGAAGCUCUUUAGUUUCAUUAGGUCCUACUUGUCAAUAUUUGUUUUUACUACAGUUGCUUUUGGUGUCUUCAUCAUGAAGUCUUUGCCAGGGCUGAUGUCUAGAAUGGUAUUUCCUAAGUUUUCUUCUAGGGUAUUUAUAGUUUUAUGUUUUACAUUUAAGUCUUUAAUGCAUUUUGAGUUGAUUUUUGAAGGGUAAAGGUGAAGUUUCAAUCUUCUGCAUAUGUCUAGCCAGUUAUUCUAGCACCAUUUAUUGAAUAGGAAGUCCUUUCCCCAUUGCUUGUUAUUGUUAACUUUGUUGAAGAUCAGAUGGUGUAGGUGUGUGGCUUUAUUUCUGUGUUCUUUAUUAUGUUCCAUUGGUCUGUGUGUCUGUUUUGUACCAGUACCAUGCUGUUUUAAUUACUAUAGCCUUGUAUUAUAGUUUGAAGUCAGGUAGUGUGAUCCUCCAUCUUUGCACUUUUCACUUAGGAUUGCUUUGGUUAUUCGGGCUCUCUUUUGGUUCCAAGUGAAUUUUAGAAUUUUUAUUCUAGUUCUGUGAAAAACAUUGCUAGUAGUUUAAUAGAAUAGCAUUGAAUCUGUAAAUUGCUUUGGGCAGCAUGACCAUUUUAACAAUAUUGAUUCUUCCUAUCCAUGAGCAUGGAAUAUUUUUUCACAAUCUUAAUUUUUAAGAGGGCAGAAUUGAGAACAAAAUGGAUUUUAAAAGAUAAAAAAGCACACCUAAUAAUAGUAAAGGUUAAAAUUCACUAGGAAUACAUUAUGUAUUAAUAUUUGUGUGCCUAGUCACACAACAAAAAUGUAGUUUUUUUGUUUAUUUGUUUGUUUGGUUUUUUUUGUUUGUUUGUUUAGAUGGAGUCUCACUCUGUCGCCCAGGCUGGAGUGCAGUGGCGCGAUCUUGGCUCACUGCAACCUCUCCCUCCCGGGUUCAAGCAGUUCUCUGCCUCCGCCUCCUGAGUAGCUGGGAUUACAGGUGCCUGCCACCAUGCCCAGCUAAUUUAGUAGAGAUGGGGUUUCACCAUCUUGGCCGGGCUGGUCUUGAACUCCUGACCUCAGGUGAUCCACCCGCCUCGGCCUCCCAAAGUGUUGGGAUUGCAGGUGUGAGCCACCGCACCCAGCCAAAAAUGUAGUUUUAUAUAGGAAACCUGCAGAAGCAGCAAUGAGAUAUAUGAAAAAUCAUACUAAUACCUGAGGCUGUUAAGCUUGGGCCCAAAUGCAAAUACAGAUUAAAAUUGUAGAAUGCAAUAAGAAUAAUGAAAAUAAAAACAGAACAUAUCAGAAUUUACAGCUAGAGCAGUGGUCAGAUAAUAUUUUUAUGCAUUACAUAGCUAUAUCAAUAAAAAGGAAUUGAACAAUCAAUUCAAAAAGCCAGAUAAAGAACCACAACAUAAACUAAAAGAAUGCAGUUGAAUAGUUAAAGGUUAAAACAGAAAA